GUAGGUGGCAAGCGUUGUCCGGAAUUAUUGGGCGUAAAGCGCGCGCAGGCGGUUCUUUAAGUCUGAUGUGAAAGCCCACGGCUCAACCGUGGAGAGUCAUUGGAAACUGGAGAACUUGAGUACAGAAGAGGAAAGCGGAAUUCCACGUGUAGCGGUGAAAUGCGUAGAGAUGUGGAGGAACACCAGUGGCGAAGGCGGCUUUCUGGUCUGUAACUGACGCUGAGGCGCGAAAGCGUGGGGGGAGCAAACAGGAUUAGAUACCCUGGUAGUCCACGCCGUAAACGAUGAGUGCUAAGUGUUAGGGGGUUUCCGCCCCCCCCUUAGUGCUGCAGCUAACGCAUUAAGCACUCCGCCUGGGGAGUACGGCCGCAAGGCUG
rnacentral:rRNA from 1 species